rnacentral:rRNA from 1 species
UACGGAAGGCAGCAGUGGGGAAUAUUGCACAAUGGGCGAAAGCCUGAUGCAGCUAUGCCGCGUGUAUGAAGAAGGCCUUAGGGUUGUAAAGUACUUUCAUCGGGGAGGAAAAAACAAAACUAAUAAUUUUAUUUCUUGACGUUACCCGAAAAAGAAAGCACCGGCUAACUCCGUGCCAGCAGCCGCGGUAAUACGGAGGGUGCUAGCGUUAAUCAGAAUUACUGGGCGUAAAGAGCACGUAGGUGGUUUUUUUAAAGUUCAGAUGUGAAAUCCCUGGGCUUAACCCUAGGAACUGCAUUUUGAAACUGAAAUACUAGAGUAUCGUAGAGGGAGGUAGAAUUCUAGGUGUAGCGGUGAAAUGCGUAGAUAUCUGGAGGAAUACCUGUGGCGAAAGCGGCCUCCUAAACGAAAUACUGACACUGAGGUGCGAAAGCGU